UACAGAGGUCCCAAGCGUUGUUCGGAUUCACUGGGCGUAAAGGGUGCGUAGGCGGUCGGGUAAGUCUGAUGUGAAAUCUCACAGCUUAACUGUGAAACUGCAUUGGAUACUAUCCGGCUCGAGGAAUGGAGGGGAGACUGGAAUACUUGGUGUAGCAGUGAAAUGCGUAGAUAUCGGGAGGAACACCUGUGGCGAAAGCGGCGCACUGGACCACAACUGACGCUGAGGCGCGAAAGCUAGGGGAGCAAACAGG
rnacentral:rRNA from 1 species